AACAAUUUAUAAAGACGUCGAGUCCCUCCACCAUACAUUAUCGAUUCAUACGUCUUUCCUAAUGCAUAAAGAAUCCUCCAUAGAUGAGCUUCAAUGGGGUAGCAGUUAGGAUCUUGAGAGAGGCUAACUCGUUAAAGAGGUUCAAGGUCGUGGUCGUAAACUUCACGGGUAGCAUCUCAUUUGGGAGUUUUCUUCUCUUUAUGCUCUUAUUUCUUUAUUUUCUCCAUGGUUCGUACUUAAGGAUGAUGAAUGAUGAACUUAGCCCUACCAUGAACUAAUUUAUUUGAUGUGGGUUUGAUUUGGAUGAAUUUUAUUUUGUGUUAAUGAAUGGUUAAGGUAUUUCUAUGUUAAAUGUUGUUUUGCUCAUUGUUUAUAUUUUAAAUGCUUAGUCUUGUAGAAGCUUUUGAGAGAUUGUCAUUUUCUAAGUAUAGAUGCCUAAUAUCAAGAGUUAGGCUAGAUCUGCGUGAGUGAUGGAACUAAAUUGGGAUGGUUAGUUUAUAGUCUGCCUUAGAGAUAAGGAAAGGGUUUCAUUCAACUAAAAGGGAUUAAAAGUAUUCGAUAAGCUAGUGCUCUAGCACAUGCUGAGAGGUAUUGCCGUAACAUUAGUUUUAUCAGGUUCCUUACUAAAGAUAACCUAGGAGUACUUUUAGUAAAUCUUGUUAGGUAACAUAGGCAUAAAAUACUUAGAACAUUCUAUGAAUAAAAUAAACUUUUGGCAUGGAAAACCCAGCCAAUUACCCCUAUAUAAGCUUGAUUUUGUGAGCUUGUCAAGUCUUAUUUCAUUCUCCGAAGUUGAAAUUUAAAUUCUUGCUACAACAUUAUUUUCUAUUAGUUCUACACUUCCCUUAAAUUUUUGCCUCAGCAAUAUUUUACUGUUCACCUUAUCACUUUACUAAAACUUUCGCCACAAAUAUAUAUUUUCAAUUGUUUAUACCAUUUUUGCCACAACCAAACUUUAUUCAUUUGCUUAUAUCAUACACACACACAAACACACACACACAUAGAUAUACUUAGUGAUACCCUUUUUGUUAUAACAUCUUUUAAAAUCCCUCCAAUCCCUAUGGAAAUGAUACUCACUCACUACAAUAUUCCUUGAUCUAAUGUGUAUACUUGUACACAUUUUGCGUUGAAGUUAUAAAACUCACAACACCUAUCACUCAAUGAUAUUAAACAAAGCGCAUUGUGGGAGGUAACCCAUUUUUCAUUUAGUUUCUUUAACUUUCUUGAAUUUUUAUUCUUUGAUUUUAAUGAGUGUUUUGGGUACGUUAAUUUUUAUUUUAAAACUAAGUUGAAAGCGAUGAUUUUAGUUGAACCAUGCCAUUUUUUGAACCCCUCCAGUAGCAACAGCGUGCAUAGAAUCCCCAAGUAAAGAAGUACGUCAUUUUAUUAAAAGGCACAUGUUAGCAAGUCACUCUAAGACGCAACACAAGUUAGCAAAACCAAUACCAAAUUUUCUCCAAAUUUGAUCGACCAUACCUUUUUAUCUUACCCUCCUUUUUUAACAUACUCCCUUAUCCCCAAACUUUAACUGACCAAUCCCCUCUCUUGUUUCAAAUUUUGAAAUAAUUUCCAUUUUAUCACAAUUACCAAACCCAUGUCUCUAUUAAAAACAAUUUAUUUUUCAUUUUGUUUUUACCCUAGUCGCCAACUUCUUUCUUUCUUCUUUCACACUUCUUUUGGUUUCUUCCCUCGACACACACAUCAUCAACAAUUGUUAGCGCCACCGUCUCUUUGCCGCCAAACCACCACUGCUCCUCUCGCCAUGAUGAUUCCAAUAAGAAACCAAUCCAACAAUGAUACGAUCAUUCCACCUAUGGUAAUCGAUGGUCGAUACUGAUUCAUCACCCCAACGUUCGUAGAGCUGCCCAGUGAUUUUGGUCCUACUCUGCCGCCUUCCCCUUGUCAUGGUCGGUGUCGGCAGUAAGUAAAAAUGCCCCAACCUACUGUACCCGAACCAUUCUAGCCCCUGCCUAUAUCCUCUACUUCUAUUGGUUGGUGUUUGUGGUGAUAUGCAAACGCCGAACCAAGCAAUGCUCGCUAUCCAUCACCCCCACGGUCACCGACUCUAACAUUUCAAUCCAUACCGAUCGUGGCAUCGUACUCAUCUUUUCGGCCAAGGAACUCGAUAGUGCUAUCCAGGGAAUCAAAAAGCGGAGCGUAACCGCAAUAGCGGUCGUUAUUUCGCGGUAGCGCCACCGUCCGAAACUGAUAAUCAGAAAAAUUACAGUGGGUGGCAGAAUCACAACAAUAACAGUCUUUCGCGGCCGUAAUUUAGCGUCUAACGGCAAAUAAAGUCGAUAACGGGACGAUAUUCCUGUUAUCCACAAGUUUUCGCGUAAAAGAAACCCACUGCCAUAGCUUGCUCUCAUCAUCAAAAUAGAGCAAAUAUUAAAGAGAGAGAAAAGCAAGCAACGCCAGAGAAAGUGAGUAAGCCUCUUACCAAUGGUUGAGAGCUGGUCGAUAAGCAAAUAGGUCUUCGUUUUUAUGCUCAUUCAUCUUCUUCUUCACUUGCUGAAAAUGGUAUGUAUUGUCACUUUCCUCCACUUUUUGAAGCUCUAAUUUGCAUUGUUUAUGGAUUAUUCUUUAUGGGUGUCUUGCUUUUGUUUGAGAAUUACAUGCUGCUUUUAGGACUUUCUAAUUUUUCUUUUGUUUUGGUGCUCUCUGCAUAUGUUUGCUAAUGAGGAUUGUUGGAGUGUUGUCGUGGAGAAGAAGACAAAGGCUUAGUCUAAGUCAAAGAUAAAUUGCGCGAAUUUUAAAAAAAUUCACGACCGCGACACCCGCAGUGACCGCGAUUGCAUCCGUUAUGUCCGCAACAACGAUAAACGCGACGCGACCGAAAACGUGACCACGAACGCUAUUUAAAUCCCUGGUGCUAUCCUUUUUGAUGCAUUCCGUGGAGUCAAAAAAUAAUCAAAAGGUAACCUUCCUCUUCGUUCCAUGCAUCGAGCACAAAUACUUUUCCAUUACCUCCUAGAAGUCUACCAAUCGACAUGCCCGAUCCAAUGCGGUUCAUGUCGGGGAACAGUUGAAGGGCUUCCUACAAAUUAGAAAUGACCAACUAAUUCGUUUUCAAUCAAUUCGUCACCGCCCCUUCUGCGUUUAUGCCCUAGAUGAGUGUUGCUUGGAUUCGAUGAGUUUGCUUUUCGAAACUACUAUAGUACCUUACUUCGUUCCACCGGGAGUGAUGAUGCCACACACCGAAUGAAUUUUUACCUGGCGAAAUGCUCCUUUACAACAGCAACAAGCCCCCUGUCCGGAUGUACAAGUACAAAUGCACGAUGUCAAUGAUCGCAUCCACUCCAUCGAGGCAAACAUCAUCGAGAUCUUAUCCUACCUCUGCCCUAGCCGUGUCAACGGUCACCAUUGAACAUGAGUGAUCUAUCCAGAAUUGGUAGUAGAAGGGUGUUGUUCUAAUUUUUUUUAUUAUCCGAUCAUGGUUAGAGACAUGGGCACGACGUUGGGUACGAAGCAGUUUGACGUGGCAGUUUCUAUUAGGUCUAGCUAGCAUCCGAAAGAUUUUGAAAGCAACCUAGUCAUCACAAUUC